AUCUUACCUCCUGUUCACUAUAACUUGUCCCUUCCCGUCAUGUUGGCAACAUUGCUUUGUUUGCUUUAUGCCUUAGAACUUAGGUUUUAUUAUUGUGUGAACUGCAAUGGUGCCAACAUGACGGCAAGGGACAAGUUAUAGUGAACGAUCAGUAGAUAUACUUGAAGAGUAUAAAUUCGAUGCGUUUUUUUCAGAUUGGUUUGAUGAAAUAAAACACUCAGCGUAAUGUUUAUUGCAUUUUAAUUCAUAUAAAAAUACAAUUAUCAUUAUUAAUUAAUAUACAUAAUCGCGUUUGCCUGCGGCGGCAUACAAAACCUAUAACAGGUAUGUUCAAUAAUAAAAAACUGCGAACAAUGCUACAAUUAAUGUUUAAGUACUUUUAAAUAGGCACAAUUAGGUCAGUCUGACGUACAAACAGAUUCAAAAUCCAAUGCCACUUAAAAUCACAAUUUUAAGCUUCCAAAAUUAGUAGAUAAUAGAAUGACGACUGGGAAAUGAGGCAGUCACAGUUUAACAAGCAUACAGUUGUGGAACACGUUUCCAAAAUUGUAAUUUCAACCUUAUUGGCGUACAUUUCCAAACUGUAUGUUAGUUAAACUGUGGCGGAGUGAUAACAUUUUUGCACCUACCCUCAUAAUCAAGUCGCCACGAAAGAGUCAAGUUUUAGAAGCAUAUUAUUAUCUUUUAUUACAGCUUCAUAAUUAUUUAAAAUUAUUUCAGCCCAAUAAUUGACGGAAAUAAAUGGUGCGAAUUCGGAUGUAUCAAACUAUACUUACUAAGUUUAUAGAUCUUUUUUAUUUUUAUAUUUCAAGAUAGGCUUGCGCUUGACGACAAUUAUUAUGCAUAAUGGAAAACAAUGACGAGGUCUAGGUUGAAGCGCCCUUGCCUAGAAGAUUCCUACUAACUUGCCUUUAAAAAUUUUUUUUAGUUAUUUGUUUUUCAGAGUAAACAUCUAGCUAAAUCGUCUGCUGCGCAAGUACAAGAUUAGCGGUCUUUCAACCCAAGAUGAUCUGCGUUAUUCUGCUUUCUUAAGGGUAUAACAAUAUUGGUACGCCCGAAUUAGCACCAAAACCUUCAAAAGCCCUAACUAGAAAAAAUUGUACAAUCUACAUUGUGACCGAAUAUCAUACAAGUCUAUUAGUUUUGGCCGCAAACAGCCUUUGACACAAGCGAAACCGUGUGACGAGUACAUGUUAAUCAAUCAAUUAAAAUUAUAAUAUUAGUCCUUCGUAAAAUCGCACAAGUAAAAAAAUAUACAGAAGAAUUGAGUAAAUAUAAUGUGAAAUAACUUUUGCGAGGAAUUAAAACUACCAAUUGGUCGCAGACUCUAGAUAUAAGAUAGACGGAAGACUGAACCAAAUCUAAAAUGAAAUAGUCCAGAGAAGCCGGCCAUCACACAAUCCCUUAACUGGCUCGUCCAAAUAUAUUGCUAUCCCUUUCAUAUUGCUCCGCACAGAAAAGAUAGCAUUUUAUACCUGUCAAUUUUGUUCAGAGAUUGUAUACUCCAGUAUUAGCCACAUUAACAACAAUUUACAGUGCCCAGCAAGAAAUAUUGUACAUCGAAAGCCUUUAGAAAGAUAGCUGUUUCGUUCGUCGUUGUCUCUGUGGUUGAGACAGACAAAACAUCACACAGGAAUGAGUGACAGAGACAGCACUUUACGAAGCCGAAAGCUCUUUCUAAAGGUCGAUGUAUAAUAUUUCUUGCUGGCUUCUGACAGUGAUUACGAUAUACUAUGCAAUUAGAUUGGUACUCUUUUGUGGCUCUGGGUUCUAGCUCUUCUAAUUGAAUAUGGUUUGGGGCAAUUUACUCACUGGUUAAGUUCUUUGAAGCUAUUUUCGUUCUCAUGCUUCAUCUAUCUUUUAUCCUUAGUCUGCGAAUUUCGACUGGCUUAAGCGAACCACGCAAAUCUAGCCAGGGACCAUUUAUAACAAACGCGAACUAGCACAUUAAUAUGUGUACACACAAAAAAGAACAAAAUCAAAACAAAACAUACAUACAUACAGCUCACGAAUUUUGCUUAGACUUAAGUGUCAAUUAAAACGAGACAGAUUUAUGCCAGCGGUAUAACGCUGUCUCGUUCUAAGUGUCUUAAAUCUGAGCAAAGUCAAAAUGCGCUAUGAUUUCAACCUUAGACCGACAAACUGUUUUGAAAUUUUGAGACUCAAAACUUGGGCAAUGCAUAAUGCAAAAUAAGUAAUCCAAUAUGAACACCAGGCGUAUGACUGCGCGCAUUGUACUAAAACAACCGUCAAACGUCACGAACGAAAACAAUUGGGAUGAUGCUUAUGUCAAAAA